UUGACCUCAAAUCAGGUAGGACUACCCGCCGAACUUAAGCAUAUCAAUAAGCGGAGGAAAAGAAACUAACGAGGAUUCCCCUAGUAACUGCGAGUGAAGCGGGAAGAGCUCGAGUUUGUAUC
rnacentral:rRNA from 1 species